rnacentral:lncRNA from 1 species
AUUUAGUUAUUCUCAUUGAAUCUUGGCCAGAAUUAUUUGACUCGGCGUUCACAGACUCACAUUGCGCCCCAAACAAAAGGUAACAGAGGCACAAAUUAUUAUAGCAUCCUUAAACGUUCAGAGGAAAAAUAAGACUGUAUUUUCUGGCAUGUCUCUUUCCUUUCGAAGAUAGAGAUCACACAGCUCAAUGGCUGAACCUUGAAGUACUAAGUUCUUCUCAUCAGUUUUGGAAAGAUAACCUCCGGCC